AUGUCUUUUGAUGUAAUUUACUCACAUUAUUUCUCAUUUGUGACUCCAGUGGGCUCACAGGAAGGACAGACUCAGUCUCCUAUAAAAUGGAUACUCGCAUUCUCCCCGGGAUCCUGCUGUGUGAAGAGCCCCACUACUGUAGGACCAGUUUCCCCAUCUGGAAAAUGGAUCACUCUGCCCAAUCCAUCUCACUCAAGAACCAUUUUUGAAGGUAAAAUCAACAGAAGAAUAUGGAGCAUUUGGUGGUAUUACUGUUCUGAGAAACACACCCAUGUCUCUGCUGGCGAUAGCCUGACGGUCUUACACAUCUGUUUGGAGCUCCCUCAAGCAGUCGUGCUUGAUUUGAAUCCAGAUAUAGGAUUUGCUCUGAGGAAAGAGUGAGUGAGCAAGUCUGAAUCUGCGUGCAAGGAGGUUAGUGUGUGCACCCACUCCUUUGCUUGUCUUUUUAUUUUGAUUAUGAACACUCUGGCCACUUGUGCAUGCUUCCUUCCUUGUGCAGGCUCCUGCCCCAAGCAGACGUGGGAGGCAGGCCACAUACACGGGUGAUGCUAUAACGUGAUGUCCAGUGAUGGUGACUGGAUGCCCAGAGUAUAAUGCGAGCACAGAGGAAGGAGGGACUAUACUGGAGAGGGGAAGGAGGGGCAGGAAAAGAUGCCUAGGUUUUAGGGAUGGAGUAGGAUUUAGUCAAGUGUGUCAGAGCAAAAGAGUGGUUUACAUUGAAGGAACAGUUCUAGGAAAGGUCUAGAGCCUGAGACAACACGAUCUGCUUGAGGAAACCGAAGUAGUCCCAGCCAUGGCUGGAACAUAAACUAGGGGGCAGGGAGGGUAAGAGCAGAGCUGCUGGGAUGGAUGGUGGGCAGAGUGUCCAUGGAAGACCUUGUGUCGGUGGAAGACCUUGUACAUGAUUGAGGAAACGAGAUUAGUACAUGAGGAGACACUGUGGGGUUUGAAAGAGCAAACAAUAGGGUCAGAUCUGGGUUUUGACAAAUUCUUUCUGUGGAUAAGGCCCCAGCCUGGAGUUGAGGAGGCUGGUGAUGAGGAGGUCGGGGGGGGGGGGGCAGAGUCACCUGCUGUAUGGCCGUGGGAACAGUAAUGGAGAAAAGAAACAGAUUUGCUCCAUAUGUAGGAGGGCGGAUGAUUGGGGGCUGACUGGGAGUGAGAAGUGGAGAAGACAAAGGACGAUGUAACUGCAGCUAGAGCACGGAUUUGUUCAUUUGUUUCCUGCUGAGGCCUGGAGAAAAGUGCACGGGGAACUUAGGAAGAGGUCUUAACUAGGACUUGUAUGCCAAGUAGUCAGCAACUUAACUUGGGAGCAGAAGAGCCACAGGCUGCAUGUCAGACCUGGGCCUAAUUUCCACAUGUACCACGUCCUGGCUGUGCUGAGUUGGACCAGCUCCACAGACCUUACUGUCCUCAUUUGCAGGAUUGGAGACAGCCUCUGGCCUGGGCUCAGGUGUGAGGGUGCCUUACUUGUGGCCUUCCUCUCUCUGUGGUGGGACUGAUGCUGCCCAUCGGGCUCGCUAAGCAGACAACCCCUUUCCCUCCUCACCGGAAGCUUUGUGCUUGGUGCAAGAAGUCAGUCUCCUUCUCAAAUAAACAAGGACCAUCCUUCUGACUUGGAUAUGUG
rnacentral:lncRNA from 12 species